rnacentral:tRNA from 1 species
CGCAGAAUAGAGCAGCCUGGUAGCUCGUUGGACUGAGAAUCCAAAUGUCAGUGGUUCAAAUCCACUUUCUGUCACCA